CAAUAGCGUAUAUUCAAGUUGUCGUGCUUGAAAAGCUCGUAGUUGGAUUUCUGCCGAGGACAACCGGUCCGCCCUCUGAGUGAGUGUUUGGCUCCGCCUGGGCAUCUUCUUGGAGAGCGUAGCUGCAGCAUGGAAUAAUAAGAUAGGACCUCGGUCCUAUUUAAUUGGCUUCUAGAGCUGAGGUAACGAUUAAUAGGGAUAGUUGGGGGCAUUCAUAUUCAUCAGUCAGAGGUGAAAAUCUUGGAUUUUUGUUAAGGACAGACUACCGCGAAAUCAUUUGCCAAGGAUCUUUNCAUUUA
rnacentral:rRNA from 1 species